CUUGGAGGAGAUAAACCUGCAUCCCUGAAGCCUGGAGUUUGGAACCGUGAGCUAUCUGUAAAUAGUCAUGAGAUGGACAUCCACUAAAUGAGAUUAAAAUGAGAGGAAAUGCGCUUAAAUCAAAACAGAAGAAAAUGUGGCAACAUGAAAGAAAGAACUUUUGACCAUCAAUACAAUAAGGCUCCUUCCUUUGAACAUGAAU
rnacentral:lncRNA from 1 species